AUAUGUAGCACCUGGGGAUCUUGUUAAAAUGCAGAUUCUGAUUAGUAGUUAGAAGUGUCCCCUGAGAGUUUGCGUUUUUAAAGCCUCCCAGGAAAUUCUGGU
rnacentral:miRNA from 1 species